GUGACAAAGCACACACACAAUAGAAGAAUCAAACACCGUGCUUACAUCAGCAACGAAAAAGGUAAAUGUGCAUUGAGACCACCUUGAGACAUAUCAGGUACGGUCGGGCUGAAGACCUAAACUUUAGCGCUGCUUGCGAGGCAACCCAAGGUGUUUUUAGAUAAGUGUGGGGAAGAUGUGCGAAGAGUUGUGUGAAGGUGAUGAUAGGAAGUCGGAUUAUCUACAACAUCUGUUGUGUCAAACUUCACCAGGUCAAUGUACUCUUUCCUUAGUCUUGUUAUGUUCUUUAGUAUUAAAAUAUUGGUAUUAGUUGAUAAAAUAAAAAAUAAAAAAAAAAGAAAUUUGGGGUUCGAGAUGUAAAGCAAAUGUUGGUGUUUUUGUUGAAAGCGAUCUUUCCCUCAAAACCAUACAUUGGGACAAUGUAUCCCAAGUGUGGGGAUGGGGGGAAAUUUUUGAGAAGUUAAUAUUUUUUGUGAAACCAAGUAAAAGUGUCAAAAAUUUGAAAACUUGAUAUUGUUCCAUUUGACACACCGACACCCCUUUCUAGUCAUUUCUUGGUGAGUGUUUGAGCCACAUAUGAUUAUUAGAGAAUAUUUCUUUGUUUUGAGUGGCGGUGUUUGUAUUGUGUUAAUAGAACUUGUGUACGAAUUCUUGUUGAAGCCUAGGAUUAGCAUGCUUGUGAAAAUGAUAGGGAUUUUUAGGUAGCCUCGUCCGAAUGUGUAAGAGUGUGGGAAUUGGGGGUUGGACCUCAUACGUUACAUAUAUGAGCUUGGUAUUGUGAGGGGUGGGGUUUGGUCUUUAGAAAGCCAUGUUUGAGCCUUAUACUAUUCGGUUGUGACCCAAACCUACUUCUUACCAAAAAAAAAACUUUACCUAUUGAAACGACCCGGUUUAGGAAUUUAGUUUGUGAUUGUUGAUGUUCUUGUAUAUAUUGUUGAAUUUUAUGUGUUAUGAAGAAAAUGAAAAAAAAGAAGAAAGAAAAGAAAAAAAAAGAAAGAGAAAAAUAUGAGAAAAAUACAAAAAAAAAAGUAUUUAGUUGCAAUAGUAGUUGAGAAUGUUGAAGAAGUUGUGUAUAUAGUUGAUGUUUGCUUUGUUUAGUAGUAGAAAUAAAGACCGGGUCAAAUCAAUUAGCUCUUGCAUAUAUAUCCCACCAUUUUCCUACCUUUACACAUAGCCCCGUUAUAACCCGUAAGUCCUUUUGAUUCAUAAGCAUGCUAGGUAUUUGAUAGGAGGAAACUUGAUUUGUAUACAAGCUUAUUGUAGCACAAUCACACACUUGCAUUGAGCGUGUUAGCAUAAUGUUGCUAAUAUUACUUGUCACCGAGAGUUGUUGUGAGGGGUGUGUCUUGUGGUAUGAUAAAAAGUUAGUAAAAGAACGGUACAUUUUAGCUUGGUUUGCAUGUUGAUCGCUUGUGGUUUUGAAUUGGUUAGUGAAUGAGUUGCAUGGGACAAGCAACGGGUAAGUGUGGGGAUGUGACGGGUGGUCCGUAGGACAACCCUUAAGUGCCUUAAAAAGAUUAAAAUCCCAUGCUUUACACGUUUAAUUGUUUGAACUUGGUAACUACUAGUUGUUUGGACGUGCAGGUGCAAAUAGAGCUUAAAAGGGAAGUGAUUUGGAGCAUCAAUGAAAAAAUCAAUUUUUGGAAUUGAAGAAUUAAGAGGAUAGCAUGAUAGAGGGCGAAAUUACGAGAACGUAGGCGAAAACGGUGAAGAAAACGGAGUUGAAACGAAAAAGUUAUGCUGAAAACAAGUUUUCAUGCUGAAGCCUGCCGUAAGCUACGGCAAGGGCCGUAGCUUACGGCGCCGACUGGCACUUUUUGUCACCAUAUGACAGUUUAGAGCCACCGUAAGCCAUUCUAAGCCACCGUAAGCUACGAUGGCCACCGUAGCUUACGGCGCUGACCUACGUAAAUGUGUAACUUCCACCUUUUAAUGCGGAUUUAUGAUGCCCUUUCACCUCGAAUCAAUCCCAUUCGGUUACACAACAAUGAGGGACGAUUUUUGGUUGUGCUUGGGAGCUUGAAGACAUCUUGAAUCAUUGUUCUUAUGUUUCUAACUUAUUUGGAAGAAUAAGACUUUUGUUACAAUGUUUGUUCAAGCCAUGAGUGGCUAAGUACUUGGUGACUAUCUUUGGUGAAAGGUUUGCAAGACAUUUAUGUUUACUUCCUAA
rnacentral:lncRNA from 1 species